CAAUAUUCUUCUGUGAUAACUAUAUUUUUCUAUUACAGAAAAGUGUUGUACUUUAAAACAGCUGAUUCAACAGUUGUAAUAAAAUUAAAAGAUCCUAUCUGUGAAGUGUCUGAAACUGAAAGUACUGUUGAUGAAACAAGUUCAUCUCUGCAGUUGUUUGAUGAAACAAAAAGUUGGAUUGAAGCCUUGCAGUACUGCGAUCAACUGGGUUCCUCUCUGGUUGAAAUAACUAACCAGACAGUUUGGGACGAGCUAAAGACCAUCUUGGUAAACAAGACAGAACUGCAGAAAGAGGUCUGGGUCGGCCUUGAGCGUUCCAUUUUUGGCACCAACAUAAAGUGGCAGUGGACAUCGGGAGCCAAAGCUGAACAGUCUGCGUGGAUCAGCAAUUUUACGACUAACGGUUUCAACAAUCACUGUGGAAAGAUUGUCUGGAACAAUCAGUCACAAACCGUCCAGAUGCUUGAUGCCAACUGCCAUGAUAAAUUACCCUUCAUCUGCCAAGAUAAGACCGAGAUGCUUGAAGACUAAAUGAAUUUUACUCUGGAGGAUUAUUUUUGAAUAACUGCUGGUGUAUUUCUCACAUGCCUUUCAAAUUAAGUUUUGUAUUUCGCAUUUCUUACAUAUUUUUUUUCUUUUGUACAGCAUAAUACAUAGGUUAAACAUCUAUUGUUUUUUAACAAUCAGUUUUUUUGAAGAAUACCUACCUUAAAUUUUUUUCCUUGUCUUGGUUUAGAGUAUAUAUAUAUACUUUCAUAAUAUCUGCUGUUUAAAACAAUAAAUUGAACCUAAUUUUAUCUAACACUGAAGGCGUCCUGUCUCACUGGGUCAUGGUUUCUAUAGAGGUCUUUAAGUACAACCUUACCGAGGAUGAAAUAAACAA